UACGUAGGGUGCAAGCGUUGUCCGGAAUUACUGGGCGUAAAGGGCGCGUAGGCGGCCUGUUAAGUCGAACGUGAAAUCCCCGGGCUCAACCCGGGAACUGCGUCCGAUACUGGCAGGCUUGAAUCCGGGAGAGGGAUGCGGAAUUCCAGGUGUAGCGGUGAAAUGCGUAGAUAUCUGGAGGAACACCGGUGGCGAAGGCGGCAUCCUGGACCGGCAUUGACGCUGAGGCGCGAAGGUCAGGGGAGCAAACGGG
rnacentral:rRNA from 1 species